AGUCAUGUCUAAGCUAAAUCUCAAAGCUGAACCAGGGCUUACCACUGCUUACUCAUUAGCCCCAGGAUCGCAGCAGUGGCAGAUACCCUCCGUGUCCCACACACACCCUAGGAUCCCAGCCUGAAAGCCGCUGUACCCUGGGUGCAAGGUUCCCAAGCACAAGCACCUCUCUCCUGAAGCACCUGUGUGUGCGUCUCAGCCCAGGCGAGCUACAGGCCGGAAAUGCCAGACAAGGAGCAGCUUUAAAACCGUGGCCUCAUGGAAAGGCAGAAUGG